UGUUCGUCCCUUCGCGACGGAUCUCCGUGAAUUCCGCCAGGCCCGGAAGGGAGCAACGGUAGCGGUCGAUCCGGGCGCCGGAGACCGGCGGAUGCAG
rfam:Halothiobacillus sp. XI15 contig_10, whole genome shotgun sequence.